GCCAAUAGGGCUGCAAUUGCAGGUUAUUCUGAUAUAAUAAUAUUUAAAGGUUACUCUUUCGUUGGUG
rnacentral:tRNA from 1 species